rnacentral:tRNA from 1 species
AAGAUACUAGUGUAAGGAAAACACACUGCCUUGUCAAGGCAGAGUUGUGGGCUAAACUCCCACGUAUUUUA